rnacentral:tRNA from 1 species
GCCGAAGUGGUGGAAUUUGGUAGACACGCAUGGUUGAGGGCCAUGUGAGCCUAACUCGCUCGUGGGGGUUCGAGUCCCCCCUUCGGCA